CCCCAGGAGGAAGAAACCUCAGACAGAUCGCCGGGGAGGCAGCGCGGGAUCCCAGCCUCAGGCGUGCGCGGACGGUGUGCGGAGAGGUAGAAGCAAGAGAAGCAUAAACAUAUAAUUUCAAUGCAAUAUGGUCCAGCUAUGCAUCACCCCUUCGCUGAUGAGCCUUAAGAAAAUCCAAAUUUAUAGAUUGCUGGGUCCAUCUCUCUUGCCAUCCAGAAAAGUCAGAGCAACUGGUCUUGCUGGUUUUAAGUGUUGCCUGUGUUUCUGGCAUUGGUCACAAAGCCUACUGCCUGCUAAUCGGCAAGUGGACCUGUUUCUCUAACAAUGGCCCGAAACUUCACAACAUCAAAGGAGAAAUCAUUGCCAGCAAAAGCAUUUCCGGGUAGUAGGAAAGAAUACAAGUGAAUAACAUUAGUCCAGAAGUUUUAAUAAUAUUCUUUGCUGGUUGAAAUUCAUGUUUAAUAUGAUGUAAAUUACUUGAUAAGCAAAUUAAGAACUAUGCUACUACAGACUCCAAAUAAGACGCAAGAAGAAUGAGGGGAAAUACAUUAAAGGAAGAUCUUAAAAAACA